rnacentral:rRNA from 1 species
AGAGUUUGAUCAUGGCUCAGAAUCAACGCUGGCGGCGCGCUUAACACAUGCAAGUCGAACGAGAAAGGGGAGCAAUCCCUGAGUAAAGUGGCGUACGGGUGAGUAACACGUGGGUGAUCUACCUUUUGGUGGGGGAUAACCCUGGGAAACCGGGGCUAAAACCGCAUAAGCUCUUUGUUGUAAAGAUGGAGAGGAAAAGAGAAAUUUGCCGAAAGAGGAGCCCGCGGCUGAUUAGCUAGUUGGUGGGGUAAAGGCCUACCAAGGCAAAGAUCGGUAGCCGGCCUGAGAGGGCACACGGCCACACUGGCACUGAAACACGGGCCAGACUCCUACGGGAGGCAGCAGUGGGGAAUCUUGCACAAUGGGGGAAACCCUGAUGCAGCGACGCCGCGUGAGCGAUGAAGCCCUUCGGGGUGUAAAGCUCUUUCGGCAGGGACGAUAAUGACGGUACCUGAAGAAGAAGCUGCGGCUAACUACGUGCCAGCAGCCGCGGUAAUACGUAGGCAGCGAGCGUUGUUCGGAGUUACUGGGCGUAAAGAGUGCGUAGGCGGUUGUCUAAGUUUGGUGUGAAAUCUCCCGGCUUAACCGGGAGGGUGCGCCGAAGACUGGAGAGCUGGAGUAUGGGAGAGGUAAGCGGAAUUCCUGGUGUAGCGGUGAAAUGCGUAGAUAUCAGGAGGAACACCAGCGGUGUAGACGGCUUACUGGACCAUAACUGACGCUGAGGCACGAAAGCGUGGGUAGCAAACAGGAUUAGAUACCCUAGUAGUCC